AGGAACACGUACGAGACCUGCCCUGUGGUGGGGAAUACCCCUUCGAAAGAGGGGCUAAUGCCGCAUACGCUCGUUGGGGUGAUACCUGAUGAGGAAAGCCUGCGGGCGCCAGAGGAGGGGCGUGCGGCCGAUUAGCUGGUUGGUGGGGUAACGGCCUACCAAGGCUGCGAUCGGUAGCUGGUCUGAGAGGAUGGACAGCCACACUGGGACUGAGACACGGCCCAG
rnacentral:rRNA from 1 species